rnacentral:tRNA from 1 species
GCCCGUGUGGCUCAGUGGGUAGAGUGGUGGCCCUCGGACGAAAGGGUUGCGGGUUCGAUUCCCGGUCAGGGGCA